rnacentral:miRNA from 1 species
UGUCCAGUAGCACCUUAGAGACCAGCUAAGUAUGUUCUGGGUAUAAGUUCUUGUGUGCAUGCACACUUCUUCAGAUACCGUGUGUAUGCACACGAAAGUUUACACCCAGAACAUACUUAGUUGGUCUCUAAGGUGCUACUGGACA